GAUGAACGCUGGCGGCGUGCUUAACACAUGCAAGUCGAACGGAAAGGCCACAGCUUGCUGUGGUACUCGAGUGGCGAACGGGUGAGUAACACGUGGGUGAUCUGCCCUGUACUUCGGGAUAAGCUUGGGAAACUGGGUCUAAUACCGGAUAGGAAUCACAUGUGUGUGUGUGGUUGGAAAGCUUUUGCGGUAUGGGAUGAGCUCGCGGCCUAUCAGCUUGUUGGUGGGGUAAUGGCCUACCAAGGCGUCGACGGGUAGCCGGCCUGAGAGGGUGUACGGCCACAUUGGGACUGAGAUACGGCCCAGACUCCUACGGGAGGCAGCAGUGGGGAAUAUUGCACAAUGGGCGCAAGCCUGAUGCAGCGACGCCGCGUGGGGGAUGACGGCCUUCGGGUUGUAAACUCCUUUCGUCAGGGACGAAGCGAAAGUGACGGUACCUGGAUAAGAAGCACCGGCUAACUACGUG
rnacentral:rRNA from 1 species